UACUUGCUAUGUAAGUAGGAAACACUGCCGAUUUUGCAGGUUAUCAAAUACUUGUUCUCCCCACUGUAUAUCUGACCAAAUUAUGAAAGACAAGCAUUGUAAUUUGGAGAUGUUGGCGGUUAACUUCAUGGAGAAACUCAUUGCCCAAACCUACGAUGAUGCAGCUGUAAUGGAAUGCAUCUGCUAUUUGUAUUUACAGCUAAGUUCCCUCCUCUUCCCUGAUCAAGAGGUGAUGACCCCUCCACUCCUCUACCAUUGUAAACUGUCUCCUGACAUAAACUGAAGCCAUGUCACAUGUGCCCGUUCAUCAACUGGCACACUGAAUGUUUCCUCUCCAAGUUCUUCAAAUCCUGUCCUGCCCUCAGUGGAAGAUUUGAGCUCUUCUCCAACACCAUCCAUCCAUGAUGUCCUGUCCUGUACUGAAGACUAUGAACACCUCAACCACUGUCCUGCACUGAGGUCAAGCCUCUGAACACCCCAACUCAUGCCUCAUACCCUCAUUCAAUCACUGCUGUGAUCCAUUCCCAACACUGUCUCCAGAUCACAAAACCUACACACAGUCCAAGUGUUGCAGGUCUGCCAACUUCCUUCUGGUUACAUUGUAUUCAGAGAAAUAUAAAAAAAAAACAAAGACCGCUUUAACUGUGAAUGUACUUUAUUGCAGAUAUUUUCCUCAAAUAAAAUGGAGCAUACAUAAAAUAAACAAGUUAUUACAAUUUAUUUACGUUGGGUGUAUGUGAGAGGGAAAGCACACAUUAAGCCAUAGUCUUUUACAAUAUUAUCAAUCACACUUUGGUUUCAUAGAUAGAGAAUGGAUAUGAAGGCAUAGAUAUCUCCAAUCCUAAAAUAAAAUGGUG